CUUGAUUAAAACGCGGGGAAAGCUGUCGAUGACGGAUGGACCCGCGGUGCAUUAGCUAGAUGGGAAACCAACGGCUUACCACGGCGAUGAUGCAUAGCCGAGUUGAGACACUGACCGGCCUCAUUCGGACUGAAACCCCGCCCGAACUCCUACGGGGGGCAUGAGGAGGGAAUCUUUGACAAUGCGCGAAAGCCUGAUGGAGCAACGCCGCGUGAGUGGAUAAUGGUUUCGGAUCGAAAAGCUCUGUUGUUGGUGAAGAAGGAUAGGGGUAGCCACUGGCCUUUAUUUGACAGUAAUCAACCAUAAAGUCACGGCUAACUACGUGCCAGUAUCAGCGGUAAUACGUAGGUGGGUAGCGUUGUCCGGAUUUAUUGGGCGUAUAGCGAGGGCAGGUCGAGUAUAGUUUUGAUGAAAAGCCCUCGACUCAACCAAGUAACUGCAUCGGAUACUGUAUUUCCUGAGAAGAGAAGAGGACAUUGGAACUCCAUGUGUAGCGGGGGAUUGCUUACAUAUAUGGAAGCAACACCAGGGGGCGCAGGUAGCUCUCUGGUCUGUAUUGACCCUCACGCUCAAACGCAUGGUUAGAGAACCGGAUUAUCUAUGCUGGUACCCCAUGCCGUAAACGUUGAGUGCUAACAGCUGGGACGUUUCCGCAUCGUCAGAGAUGCAGCAAACCACAAGCACUCCGCCAGGGGAGUACAACCGCACAGUUGAAACUCA
rnacentral:rRNA from 1 species